rnacentral:rRNA from 1 species
ACCGGUUGAUGCUGCCGGAGAUAGCUGCUGUGAGGAUGAGACUAAGUCAUGCGAAUGAAGGGAUAGCCUACUAUCCCUCGUGCAAGUCUGAGUAACGAGUAGUGAAUCUACCCUAUACUUUUGGAUAACCCCGGCAAACUGGGGCUAACACAAGAUAUCUACUGGAUGUUGGAAUACUUCAGUAGCAAAAGGAGUAAGGAAAUGGCCUUACACGGUAUAGGACGACACUGCUUCCGAUUAGGUAAUACGUGGGGUAAUGGCCCACGCAGCCAAGGAUCGGUAGGGGCUAUUGGCGUAGUAUCCCCCAGUUGGAUCCUGAGACACUGAUCCAGGGGCUAUGGCUUGCAGCAGGCGCGCAAACUGGACAAUGCAGGAAACUGUGAUCCGGUCAUCCUCAGUCCUAGGCUCACGUCUAGGUUUUCUGGAGUGUGGAUAGCUUCAGGAAUAAGGAGAGGGCAAGAACGGUGCCAGCCGCCGCGGUAAAACCGUCUCUUCGAGUGGCUAUCAUGUUUACUGAGCUUAAAGCGUCCGUAGCCGGACGGGUUAGUUUCACAUUAAAACCGACAUCUUAAGUGCCCGGAGUGUGUGGAAUACUGCUCGUCUUGGAAAAGGAAUAGGGAACAGGUACGCUAUGUGUAAAGGUGAAAUUUUAUAAUCCAUAGCGGACCACCGAUGGCGAAGGCAUGUUCCUGGAACUUGUUCGACGGUCAGGGACGAAGGCUAGGGGAGCGAGCCGGAUUAGAUACCCGGGUAGUCCUAGCUGUAAACGAUGCGGAUUAAGUGUUCGGGAAGCUGAUGCUUUCCGAGUGCCGUAGCGAAAGCGUUAAAUCCGCCGCUUGGGAAUUACGGUCGCAAGACUGAAACUUAAAGCAAUUGGCGGGAGAGCGCCACAAUGGGUGGAGCCUGCGGCUUAAUUGGACCCAACGCCGGGAAACUCACUAGAGUAGUGUACCCAAUGCCAGUCAUGCUGAAGACAUUACUGAAAGGGUCACAGGGAGGUGCAUGGCCGUCUACAGCUCGUGCCGUGAGGUGUCCAGUUAAGUCUGGCAACGAGCGAGACCCCCUGAAAUACUUACCAGCGAUCGGGAUGCCGAGUCGGGCACAGUAUUUCGACAGCGACUGCUAAAGUCGAGGAAGGUGGGGGCCACGGCAGGUCAGUAUGCCCCUAAUACUCUAGGCCGCACGCGGGCUACAAUGCUUGGGACAAUGGGAUCCUACACCGAAAGGUGGCGGAAAUCUCGAAACCCAUGCUCAGUUGGGAUUGCGGGCUGCAACUGCCCGCAUGAACUUGGAAUCCAUAGUAAUCGUGUGUCAUAAUCGCACGGUGAAUACUGUCCCCUCUCUUUGCACACACCGCCCGUCGCAGCACGCGAGUUGGUCAAACUAGAGGCGCAUUCCUCGUGAUUGUGUCAAUAGUAGGGUUAAUGAGUGGGCUGAAGUCGUAACAAGGUA